AAUAAGUCUGCUGCAGAGCAGACUUAAAUUUGACAGAUCGAUAGUUAAUUUCUUUCUCGCUCGCUCGGGCGAUCGGUGUUUGUUGUUUACUUCCAACAUAAUGUUGUUUCCCCUAUCCGGUAAUUCAUCUGCGGUCGGACAUUCCUGCUGCCUUCGCAAGAUCCAAGACCAGUAAAAUGACGGAACUUGCAAGGGUGGGAUGAAAUCCUCACAACCAGAAUUGUUUCCUGAACAGCUGACAAGGUACUCGCAAAGCAUUUCGACGGACAAAACAUCUGGAAAGCUGCGACCACAGGAGACCCGAUGAUUUCCAGUAUAUCUCAAGCCGAAAUCAACCAAAAUAGUCUCAUCAAGGUGCACCAUGCAAGGCCAAGGACCUGCGGAAAUUUGGAGUAUGUCGAGCUUCUAGUGUCCAAAAUAAAGUGCAUGUUGGAACAAACGCCGCCAAGGCACACUUUAUAGCCUGCAUCAAGAAGAUUAUGAUUGAGAAAGCUGAGUUGCUAUUGGUGAAAAAUCCGAAUUCCCGUCUAUGUGCCCAAAAGAAGUUCAUCAGUUCUCUACAUGUAGCCGUGGAACGGCGGAACUGGAGUCUGGUUGAACUACUCGUUGAUAAUCAUGCGAACUUGAAUGUUUCGGAUUUCGCUGACGAGACGCCACCCCCACAGGAUUGGAAUCAGGAACCGUAAGAAAAGUUACAUUAAUUGCUUACGUUUGUUUCAACAAUAUGAUAACGAUUCUCGUUCAAUUACCAUGGCUGCAGCAGGAAAGCAAGGCGACUAUUUUCAAAGUGUUUUCCAUCAAUAACAAAUUUGUUCGGCAUCUACUUUUCUAUCUAAACUAUUUAGCUUUGAAGAUGAAGCCAGGGGAUUCAUGGUCGGAAUUGUGGACGGAGUUGUUCUAAUAACCAACUACUCAUUGUCACGCCCCAUUUACGACAAAUUAUGAUCAUUUAAUUCGAUGUAUCGCAUCAAUGAUAGAUAACCAAACUACGUUCUUACUGGAAUUGUCGAACGUUGAGAAUAUAAUGCAGCAUCAAAGGACUACGACGACUUUGACUAUAGAUCUGAUGAAGCUCGUCAGAGGCCUUGCAUAAAACACCUACGUAGAUAAACAUUUA